CCUCAUUGACUAACCUCAGAAUUUCAGAGCUGGCAAGUUCUUGGAGAUCUAAUCUAAUCUUCUCAUUUUAUAAGAAAACGUCCGCCCAGAAGAUUAUAAACCUCAACACCUCCACUGUCUUUGAUGGAAUACCGUCUUCAUCAUCUCCAGGAGUCUUCUCAUGGGAAGACUCACACAUGAAACCGAGAACCCGAGCAAGUAUGUAGCUCGUCUGACUCGAAACGGAAUGGAAUCAAGUGUCCGAAAGACUUUAAUUAAGCUCUGCACCUUAUCAAGAAGGAGCUGUCUGUCUGCUACAUGCUGGGACACCGGGACGAAGGGCGGGCCCUCCCGACACGUUAGCUGUUUGGUUUUCUUGUUGUUGUUGUUAGCUGUUGUUUUUAAAACGCAUGGUCUAAUAAAUAAAAAUCUUAAAAAAAAAAAAAAGAAAAAAAGAAACAGAACGCAUGGUCUA